AGGAUGAACGCUGGCGGCGUGCUUAACACAUGCAAGUCGAACGAUGAACCUCACUUGUGGGGGGAUUAGUGGCGAACGGGUGAGUAACACGUGAGUAACCUGCCCUUGACUCUGGGAUAAGCCUGGGAAACUGGGUCUAAUACCGGAUAUGACUCCUCAUCGCAUGGUGGGGGGUGGAAAGCUUUUUGUGGUUUUGGAUGGACUCGCGGCCUAUCAGCUUGUUGGUGAGGUAAUGGCUCACCAAGGCGACGACGGGUAGCCGGCCUGAGAGGGUGACCGGCCACACUGGGACUGAGACACGGCCCAGACUCCUACGGGAGGCAGCAGUGGGGAAUAUUGCACAAUGGGCGAAAGCCUGAUGCAGCGACGCCGCGUGAGGGAUGACGGCCUUCGGGUUGUAAACCUCUUUCAGUAGGAAGAAGCGAAAGUGACGGUACCUGCAGAAGAAGCGCCGGCUAACUACGUGCCAGCAGCCGC
rnacentral:rRNA from 1 species